UACUAUCAUCUUCUGGUCCUAUCUUUCUCUCCUCAUUUACCUUCAAACCUACUGAACAAAAAUAAAUCUAUAAACCCUCUCCGGAAACCAUCAAAGAACAAUCAUGAUUCUCUAUCCGUGGUUAGAGAAGAGAAAAUAUAAACCCUUGCCUCUUCUAAAUCCAGUAAAUUAAAUCAGUCUAUUCUCCUAACAGAUCUAUUCGAGGUCGUCUUCUUCUUCUUGAAAGUUAAAAACUUAUCUUCAAUGGGUCGGGUGGUGAUGUGAAUGAUGAUGAUAUUAUUGGAGGUGAUCCUGGGGGUUAUGUCGUAACAUUAAAAAAUUAUUGAAGGGUUGCAUGGCUUGCAUUAUGCAACGUCGUCGAUAAGAUUCUUUUUGCAGGAUAUCUUAAUUACUUUCUUUCUGUUAUCAGUUUUUUGCAUUCUCAAAUUUCAGUUUUUUCCCUUCUAGGAAGCCCCGAUAUCCAUCAAUUUUACAUGAUAAUAAUAGUUACUACUCGACUAACAAGAUUAACCACCAAUCUUGUAUCCGGUGGGAGAAAAAACCGAUAACAGAGAUUUAGAAGAAAAACGGGAGCAUCAUUAAAAGAAAAGUCCUGUAUAGUCAAGUCAUACUCUGUCUGUCAGUCAGUGUUAAUAGCUCUCGUCUUUGUCUGUAUUAGAUACCAGAUCAUUACUCUGUAAUAACAUUACAUCCACAUAUUUUCAUUAA